GGUUAAGCGACUAAGCGUACACGGUGGAUGCCCUGGCAGUCAGAGGCGAUGAAGGGCGUGCUAAUCUGCGAUAAGCGCCGGUAAGGUGAUAUGAACCGUUAUAACCGGCGAUACCCGAAUGGGGAAACCCAGUGUGAUUCGUCACACUAUCAUUAACUGAAUCCAUAGGUUAAUGAGGCGAACCGGGGGAACUGAAACAUCUAAGUACCCCGAGGAAAAGAAAUCAACCGAGAUUCCCCCAGUAGCGGCGAGCGAACGGGGAGGAGCCCAGAGCCUGAAUCAGCAUGUGUGUUAGUGGAAGCGUCUGGAAAGGCGCGCGAUACAGGGUGACAGCCCCGUACACAAAAGCGCAUGUGCUGUGAGCUCGAUGAGUAGGGCGGGACACGUGGUAUCCUGUCUGAAUAUGGGGGGACCAUCCUCCAAGGCUAAAUACUCCUGACUGACCGAUAGUGAACCAGUACCGUGAGGGAAAGGCGAAAAGAACCCCGGCGAGGGGAGUGAAAAAGAACCUGAAACCGUGUACGUACAAGCAGUGGGAGCACAGGUUUACCUGUGUGACUGCGUACCUUUUGUAUAAUGGGUCAGCGACUUAUAUUCUGUAGCAAGGUUAACCGUAUAGGGGAGCCGGAGGGAAACCGAGUCUUAACCGGGCGUUAAGUUGCAGGGUAUAGACCCGAAACCCGGUGAUCUAGCCAUGGGCAGGUUGAAGGUUGGGUAACACUAACUGGAGGACCGAACCGACUAAUGUUGAAAAAUUAGCGGAUGACCUGUGGCUGGGGGUGAAAGGCCAAUCAAACCGGGAGAUAGCUGGUUCUCCCCGAAAGCUAUUUAGGUAGCGCCUCGUGAAUUCAUCUCCGGGGGUAGAGCACUGUUUCGGCUAGGGGGCCAUCCCGGCUUACCAACCCGAUGCAAACUGCGAAUACCGGAGAAUGUUAUCACGGGAGACACACGGCGGGUGCUAACGUCCGUCGUGAAGAGGGAAACAACCCAGACCGCCAGCUAAGGUCCCAAAGUCAUGGUUAAGUGGGAAACGAUGUGGGAAGGCCCAGACAGCCAGGAUGUUGGCUUAGAAGCAGCCAUCAUUUAAAGAAAGCGUAAUAGCUCACUGGUCGAGUCGGCCUGCGCGGAAGAUGUAACGGGGCUAAACCAUGCACCGAAGCUGCGGCAGCGACGCUGAUGCGUUGUUGGGUAGGGGAGCGUUCUGUAAGCCUGUGAAGGUGUGUCGUGAGGCAUGCUGGAGGUAUCAGAAGUGCGAAUGCUGACAUAAGUAACGAUAAAGCGGGUGAAAAGCCCGCUCGCCGGAAGACCAAGGGUUCCUGUCCAACGUUAAUCGGGGCAGGGUGAGUCGACCCCUAAGGCGAGGCCGAAAGGCGUAGUCGAUGGGAAACGGGUUAAUAUUCCCGUACUUGGUGUUACUGCGAAGGGGGGACGGAGAAGGCUAUGUUGGCCGGGCGACGGUUGUCCCGGUUUAAGCGUGUAGGUGUGUGUUCCAGGUAAAUCCGGUUCACUUUAACACUGAGGCGUGAUGACGAGGCACUACGGUGCUGAAGCAACAAAUGCCCUGCUUCCAGGAAAAGCCUCUAAGCAUCAGGUAACAUCAAAUCGUACCCCAAACCGACACAGGUGGUCAGGUAGAGAAUACCAAGGCGCUUGAGAGAACUCGGGUGAAGGAACUAGGCAAAAUGGUGCCGUAACUUCGGGAGAAGGCACGCUGACACGUAGGUGAAGUGAUUUACUCACGGAGCUGAAGUCAGUCGAAGAUACCAGCUGGCUGCAACUGUUUAUUAAAAACACAGCACUGUGCAAACACGAAAGUGGACGUAUACGGUGUGACGCCUGCCCGGUGCCGGAAGGUUAAUUGAUGGGGUCAGCGCAAGCGAAGCUCCUGAUCGAAGCCCCGGUAAACGGCGGCCGUAACUAUAACGGUCCUAAGGUAGCGAAAUUCCUUGUCGGGUAAGUUCCGACCUGCACGAAUGGCGUAAUGAUGGCCAGGCUGUCUCCACCCGAGACUCAGUGAAAUUGAACUCGCUGUGAAGAUGCAGUGUACCCGCGGCAAGACGGAAAGACCCCGUGAACCUUUACUAUAGCUUGACACUGAACAUUGAGCCUUGAUGUGUAGGAUAGGUGGGAGGCUUUGAAGUGUGGACGCCAGUCUGCAUGGAGCCGACCUUGAAAUACCACCCUUUAAUGUUUGAUGUUCUAACGUGGACCCGUAAUCCGGGUUGCGGACAGUGUCUGGUGGGUAGUUUGACUGGGGCGGUCUCCUCCUAAAGAGUAACGGAGGAGCACGAAGGUUGGCUAAUCCUGGUCGGACAUCAGGAGGUUAGUGCAAUGGCAUAAGCCAGCUUGACUGCGAGCGUGACGGCGCGAGCAGGUGCGAAAGCAGGUCAUAGUGAUCCGGUGGUUCUGAAUGGAAGGGCCAUCGCUCAACGGAUAAAAGGUACUCCGGGGAUAACAGGCUGAUACCGCCCAAGAGUUCAUAUCGACGGCGGUGUUUGGCACCUCGAUGUCGGCUCAUCACAUCCUGGGGCUGAAGUAGGUCCCAAGGGUAUGGCUGUUCGCCAUUUAAAGUGGUACGCGAGCUGGGUUUAGAACGUCGUGAGACAGUUCGGUCCCUAUCUGCCGUGGGCGCUGGAGAACUGAGGGGGGCUGCUCCUAGUACGAGAGGACCGGAGUGGACGCAUCACUGGUGUUCGGGUUGUCAUGCCAAUGGCACUGCCCGGUAGCUAAAUGCGGAAGAGAUAAGUGCUGAAAGCAUCUAAGCACGAAACUUGCCCCGAGAUGAGUUCUCCCUGAGACUUAGAGUCUCCUGAAGGAACGUUGAAGACGACGACGUUGAUAGGCCGGGUGUGUAAGCGCAGCGAUGCGUUGAGCUAACCGGUACUAAUGAACCGUGAGGCUUAACCUU
rnacentral:rRNA from 1 species